GGCUGGUCCGAAGGCAGUGAGUUAUCUCACUUGACCGUUCACAGUCACAGAUUGAACUCCUUGUUCUACUUUCCCCCCUAAUCACUACUGCACUUGAUUAGUCUUAA
ensembl:misc_RNA Y_RNA Y RNA